UGCAUUGGCUCAAAUGCUGCUGGUGGAUGAUGGCCUCAGGCUGGAAAAGAGGGAGGAGAUUUGGGGUGGCUGGAACAUACCUGGCAGCUGUGUGGGAGCUCGGGGAGGUCGGCAACAGGGAUUGCUGUCAGAGCCCCUCUGCAAACGGCCCGUGCCUCCAUUCCCAGCUGUGUCUGUAUUCCCGACUUCCAUUUACCUUGGAGACAUUUGGCUUGGAACACAGGAGCUGAAUGUUACUUACCCAUGUCAGAUUGAUCUGCACUAGUGCAGAUUAUGAGAGGGUGACUCAGACACUCGGAAACAAGGGGAAGAAACUGUUAUGUCUCUUUGCAAAAAAAUUUGGCUCCAUCAGGGCAUUAAUUCAGGGGACAAACACUUCACCUUUAACGUUCUUCUCUGCUCCGUCCGCAUCGCCAUGAGAGCCUCAUGAGCUGUUCUCAUAUAGACCUACCUUGUUUGGUUAAAAAAAUCCGUAUUUUAUUACUGGGUGCAAACUCAGGGGGAAGAUUUGAUUCAACAUCUCUCAGUGGGACAUAAAAGCUCCAAUUUCCCUUUUCUUGAA